CAGCCUCCUAGGCCAUACGGCAAAAAAUCCUUUGGAGUCUUGGCGAUGCUGUCCACAUUCCACAUAGCCUGCGCCUUCAGGAUCUGCACGGAUGUCUCAGCAUUUUCUCUGCUGGAUGUAGGAAGUAAUCAUCGUGGGUUUCGUCGAGACAAUCGUC